rnacentral:rRNA from 1 species
GACGAACGCUGGCGGCGUGCCUAAUACAUGCAAGUCGAGCGAAGCGGGGACGGGUGAGUAACACGUGGUAACCCUCCUUUAAGUCCCGGACAACUUCGGGAAACCGGUGCUAAAGCGGAUACUCAUAGGUCGAUCAGCGAUGCACUAGCUAGUUGGUAAGGUAACGGCUUACCAAGGCAACGAUGCAUAGCCGACCUGAGAGGGUGAUCGGCCACACUGGGACUGAGACACGGUCCAGACUCCUACGGGAGGCAGCAGUAGGGAAUCUUCCGCAAUGGGCGAAAGCCUGACCGAGCAACGCCGCGUGAGUGAAGAAGGUCUUCGGAUCGUAAAACUCUGUUAUUAGGGAAGCGGUACCUAAUCAGAAAGCCACGGCUAACUACGUGCCAGCCGCCGCGGUAAUUC